GCGGCGUUGGUGGUUCGUCACCGGAUGAAGAACUGUGGGAAGUGGGCUCGAGCCAUGGCUAUAUUGAAGGAGUUUGAAGACAAGUGUAGAACUCCGACGGAGAAGUUGAAACAAGUGGCGGAGGCUAUGACUGUGGAGAUGCAUGCUGGUCUCGCAUCUGAAGGUGGAAGCAAGCUCAAGAUGCUUAUUAGCUAUGUGGAUAAUCUUCCCACUGGGGACGAGAAAGGGUUGUUCUAUGCAUUAGACCUUGGGGGCACAAACUUUCGUGUGUUGCGAGUACAAUUGGGAGGAAAGGAUGACCGUGUUGUUAGGCAAGAAUUCGUCGAAGUUUCGAUUCCUCCGCAUUUAAUGACUGGAUCUUCAGAGGCCUUAUUUGGUUUUAUAGCUGAAGCACUUGCAAAAUUUGUUGAAGAAGAAGGUGAU
rnacentral:misc_RNA from 1 species